ACUAAUCUGCGAUAAGCGCCGGUAAGGUGAUAUGAACCGUUAUAACCGGCGAUACCCGAAUGGGGAAACCCAGUGUGAUUCGUCACACUAUCAUUAACUGAAUCCAUAGGUUAAUGAGGCGAACCGGGGGAACUGAAACAUCUAAGUACCCCGAGGAAAAGAAAUCAACCGAGAUUCCCCCAGUAGCGGCGAGCGAACGGGGAGGAGCCCAGAGCCUGAAUCAGCAUGUGUGUUAGUGGAAGCGUCUGGAAAGGCGCGCGAUACAGGGUGACAGCCCCGUACACAAAAGCGCAUGUGCUGUGAGCUCGAUGAGUAGGGCGGGACACGUGGUAUCCUGUCUGAAUAUGGGGGGACCAUCCUCCAAGGCUAAAUACUCCUGACUGACCGAUAGUGAACCAGUACCGUGAGGGAAAGGCGAAAAGAACCCCGGCGAGGGGAGUGAAAAAGAACCUGAAACCGUGUACGUACAAGCAGUGGGAGCCCCACCACCAAAGCAUUUGCU
rnacentral:rRNA from 1 species